rnacentral:lncRNA from 1 species
GGCUCAUUGAACUCAGAGCCCGUUAUCAAGAGUGGGAGGAUCAAAGUGGGUUUCCCAUCACUACAUCCACCCAGCCAGAGGUUUUCAGAGACAAUGGAUUAAUAUCAGGUUUGGCUCCUCAUUUUGAGUUUGCACCAGCUGAAGGAUGCUGGGAGAAUCUAGAGCAUCAUCCUUGUAGACACCCAUCACCGUUAAUUCAACUGGGCACCAACCAGAUGUGGACCAACAGCUGCAUAUCUGUUCUGGAUAUGGACAUUCUUCAGAGAGGACUGUUGCUAGUUUAG